UGAUCUAGCCAUGCCGCGUGAGUGACGAAGGCCCUAGGGUCGUAAAGCUCUUUCGCCAGGGAUGAUAAUGACAGUACCUGGUAAAGAAACCCCGGCUAACUCCGUGCCAGCAGCCGCGGUAAUACGUAGGGGGCGAGCGUUGUCCGGAAUUAUUGGGCGUAAAGCGCGCGCAGGCGGUCUCUUAAGUCUGAUGUGAAAGCCCACGGCUCAACCGUGGAGGGUCAUUGGAAACUGGGGGACU
rnacentral:rRNA from 1 species